rnacentral:tRNA from 5 species
GCCUCCUUAGCUCAGUGGUAGAGCACUCGCCUUGUAAGCGAAAGGUCGUCAGUUCAAUCCUGACAGGGGGCUCCG